CCAGCAUUCUUGUUCUCAUUGCAGUGAUGGGGACAAUAGCUAUGAAUGAUUAUAUUGAAGCAGGAACCAUUGUCUUUCUCUUUACUAUUGCAGAAUGGCUUGAGUCAAGAGCAAGCCACAAGGCUAAUGCUGUGAUGUCAUCAUUGAUGAGCAUAGCUCCACAGAAAGCAGUCAUUGCUGAAACUGGAGAAGAAGUGGAUGUUCAUGAGGUAAAAUUAAACACUGUUCUAGCUGUCAAAGCUGGAGAGACUAUACCCAUUGAUGGAAUAGUUGUAGAUGGCAAUUGUGAAGUGGAUGAGAAAUCUUUAACUGGAGAAUCAUUCCCAGUUCCCAAACAAAAGGACUCUACUGUAUGGGCUGGCACUAUCAACCUUAAUGGCUACAUUAGUUUUAAAACUAGUGCUCUAGCUGAAGACUGUGUGGUAGCUAAAAUGGCAAAGCUUGUGGAAGAAGCUCAAAGCAGCAAGUCUAAAACUCAAAGAUUUAUAGACAAAAUUUCUCAGUAUUAUACUCCAGGUGUCAUAAUCAUAUCAGUUAGCUUUGCAGUUGUUCCUUUGGCAUUAAGAGUUCAUGACCGUAAGCAUUGGUUUCGCUUAGCAUUGGUGGUUUUAGUAAGUGCAUGCCCAUGUGCUCUUAUCCUCUCCACACCUGUUGCAACUUUCUGCGCACUUACAAGGGCUGCAACAUCUGGUGUUUUGAUCAAAGGCGGAUCCUAUCUCGAAAUACUUGCUAAGAUCAAGGUAAUGGCUUUCGAUAAGACUGGAACUAUCACAAAAGGUGAAUUUGUCGUCACAGAUUUCCAAUCUCUUUGUGAAGGUGUGAGCAUUGAUACAUUGCUUUAUUGGGUAUCAAGCAUUGAGAGCAAGUCAAGUCAUCCAAUGGCCGCUGCUCUUGUCGACUAUGGAAGGAGUCUUUCAGUAGAGCCAAACCCUGAGAAUGUGGUGGAUUUUCAGAAUUUUCCUGGAGAAGGCAUCUAUGGAAAGAUUGAUGAGAAAGAAAUUUACAUUGGAAAUCGAAAGAUGGCUCUCAGAGCUGGAUGUGGAACAGCUCCAGAGCUAGAAAGUGGGGAAAUGAAGAGAGGAAAGACCAUUGGAUAUGUGUACUCUGGAGCAACCCCUGCUGGAAUUUUCAGCCUCUCUGAUGCCUGUAGGACUGGUGUUGCAGAGGCGAUCGCAGAGCUAAAGUCAUAUGGCAUUAAAACUGCUAUGCUAACAGGAGAUAGUCAAGCAGCAGCAAUGCACGCUCAAGAACAGCUAGGACAUGCUCUUGAAGUAGUCCAUGCAGAACUCCUGCCUGAAGACAAGGCAAGGAUUUUGGAAACAUUUAAGAAGGAAGGACCAACAGCAAUGAUUGGAGAUGGAUUAAAUGAUGCCCCUGCAUUGGCUACAGCUGAUAUUGGUAUCUCAAUGGGAAUUUCAGGUUCAGCACUUGCAACUGAGACAGGACAUGUCAUUCUUAUGUCUAAUGACAUUAGAAAAGUACCUAAAGCAAUCCAGCUUGCAAGAAAAGCUCAUAGGAAAGUAAUCGAGAAUGUCAUUCUCUCAAUAUCUACCAAGUCUGCUAUCCUUGCCUUGGCAUUUGCUGGUCACCCUCUUGUUUGGGCUGCUGUCCUUACUGAUGUCGGCACUUGUCUGCUAGUGAUCUUUAACAGCAUGCUGCUUUUACGGGGAACCCACCAAAAUGGAGGAAAAUGCUGCAAAUCAUUAGCUGUGGAAAAUACUAAGAAAUGUGAAAGUGAGCAUUCAGCUCAUCAUCAAAAGCCUUGCUGUUCAAACCAAAAGUUUCCAAAAAUGUGUAAACCUCAAGACUUGCAAAUCUGUGCUUUAAUAUGCGAGUCAGAUGACCCAAAUGUGAAAUUAUCAUGUGGGAAUAAUAGGUGCACAGACUCAGCUGACAGGCUGAUGAAUGAAAUGAAGCAUGGUGAUCAUGGAAGCUGCAAAGCAGUCGACUUAGAGGAGAACAAUGCACACAAACAUCAUGCUUGUUCAGGCUCUCAAAAUUUGAGCUCGAGUAUGAGACACAACUGUAAAAGUUCAGCAGAAAUGCAAGGCAAAUGUAUGGAAGGAGAUGGACAGCACAAGGGAAAGCAUUCUCGCCAAAGGCAUUGUGAUCAAGUAACUCACCUUUGUACCUCUAACCAUUCUACUGAGAUAAAAGAAGGAACCAACAAUGGUCAUUGCCAUUCCAACCACUGUGAAGAUUAUGUAGAAAACACUAUUGAAUCACACUUCAAUCAUGGGCCUCACAGUCUCAAUCGUGUUAUUACGAAUUGUUGCCACAGCCACAGCAGCCUUCCUUGCUCUACCAUUGAUAUUCAUUCUUAUAUGAGCUUGGAUAAGAGAGAAAUCGGGGGUUGUUGCAAGAGCUAUAUGAAGGAAUGUUGUGGUAAGCAUGGACAAUUUGCAAAUGGCUUUGGUGGAGGCUUGUCUGAAAUCAUCACUGAAUAGU
rnacentral:misc_RNA from 1 species